CUUCCGUAGGGGUAACCUGCGGAGGGAUCAUUACAGAGUUGCAAAACUCCCUAAACCAUUGUGAACGUUACCUCAACCGUUGCUUCGGCGGGCGGCGCCCUCGGGCGCCCCCCGGCCCUCACCGGGCGCCCGCCGGAGGAUACCCAACUCUUGAUACCUUAUGGCCUCUCUGAGUCUUCUGUACUGAAUAAGUCAAAACUUUCAACAACGGAUCUCUUGGUUCUGGCAUCGAUGAAGAACGCAGCGAAAUGCGAUAAGUAAUGUGAAUUGCAGAAUUCAGUGAAUCAUCGAAUCUUUGAACGCACAUUGCGCCCGCCAGUAUUCUGGCGGGCAUGCCUGUUCGAGCGUCAUUUCAACCAUCAAGCCCCCGGCUUGUGUUGGGGACCUGCGGCUGCCCGCAGGCCCUGAAAACCAGUGGCGGGCUCGCUGUCACACCGAGCGUAGUAGCAUAAUUCUCGCUCAGGGCGUGCUGCGGGUUCCGGCCGUUAAACGACCUUCAUAACCCAAGGUUGACCUCGGAUCAGGUAGGAAGACCCGCUGAACUUAAGCAUAUCAAUAAGCCGGAGGAA
rnacentral:rRNA from 1 species